rnacentral:misc_RNA from 1 species
GUGGGAGGGGGCUUGCUCCCGAUGGCGGUGUGUCAGUCAGCAUACAUCUGUCUGACAGACCGCCAUCGGGAGCAAGCCCCCUCCCAC